UACGUAGGGUGCGAGCGUUAAUCGGAAUUACUGGGCGUAACGCGUGCGCAGGCGGUUUUGUAAGCCAGAUGUGAAAUCCCCGGGCUUAACCUGGGAAUGGCAUUUGGGACUGCAAGGCUGGAGUUUGGCAGAGGAGACUGGAAUUCCUGGUGUAGCAGUGAAAUGCGUAGAUAUCAGGAGGAAUACCGAUGGCGAAGGCAGGUCUCUGGGCUAUAACUGACGCUCAUGCACGAAAGCGUGGGGAGCAAACAGG
rnacentral:rRNA from 1 species